rnacentral:rRNA from 1 species
UUGUAUGACUCUUGAUAACGGAUAUCUUGGCUCUUGUAUCGAUGAAGAACGUAGCGAAAUGUGAUACGUGGUGUGAAUUGCAGAAUCCCGUGAACCAUUGAAUCUUUGAACGCAAGUUGUGCCCGAUGCCAUCCAUAGGUUGAGGGCUUCCCUGCCUGGGUGUCAAG